CAAAGGUUUGGUCCUGACUUUUCUGCCAGCUCUAGCUAGAUUUACACAUGCAAGUAUCCGCAUCCCCGUGAGAAUGCCCUGUAGUUCCCUGCCCGGAAACAAGGAGCUGGUAUCAGGCACAUUUAAUUUAGCCCAUGACACCUUGCUAAGCCACACCCCCAAGGGUACUCAGCAGUGAUAAACAUUGAUACAUAAGUGAAAACUUGACUCAGUCAGAGCUAAGUAGGGCCGGUAAAACUCGUGCCAGCCACCGCGGUUAUACGGGAGGCCCAAGUUGUCAGAAGUCGGCGUAAAGGGUGGUUAAGAACAAGACUAAAAUUAAAGCCGAACAUCUUCCGAGCUGUUAUACGCAUCCGAAGGUAAGAAGCUCAACUACGAAAGUAGCUUUAUACAUUCUGAAA
rnacentral:rRNA from 1 species